AAACUUAAAGGAAUUGACGGGGGCCCGCACAAGCGGUGGAGUAUGUGGUUUAAUUCGAUGCAACGCGAAGAACCUUACCUGGGUUUGAACUGCUGGAGACAGUCCUAGAGAUAGGAUCUUCCCUUCGGGGACCCCAGCAGAGGUGCUGCAUGGCUGUCGUCAGCUCGUGCCGUGAGGUGUUGGGUUAAGUCCCGCAACGAGCGCAACCCUUGCCCUUAGUUGCCAGCGGUUCGGCCGGGGACUCUAAGGGGACUGCCGGUGACAAACCGGAGGAAGGUGGGGAUGACGUCAAGUCAUCAUGGCCUCUAUGUCCAGGGCUACACACGUACUACAAUGACCGGUACAAAGGGCUGCAAACCCGUGAGGGGGAGCUAAUCCCAUAAAACCGGCCUCAGUUCGGAUUGCAGUCUGCAACUCGACUGCAUGAAGGUGGAAUCGCUAGUAAUCGCGCAACAGCAUGGCGCGGUGAAUACGUUCCCGGGCCUUGUACACACCGCCCGUCACGUCACGAAAGUCGGCUGUACCAGAAGCCGGUGGGCUAACCGCAAGGGAGCAGCCGUCCAAGGUAUGGUCGGUGAUUGGGGNGANGUCGUAACAA
rnacentral:rRNA from 1 species